rnacentral:rRNA from 1 species
AGGACGAACGCUGGCGGCGUGCUUAACACAUGCAAGUCGAGCGGAAAGGCCCUUCGGGGUACUCGAGCGGCGAACGGGUGAGUAACACGUGAGCAACCUGCCCUUAGCUUCGGGAUAGCUCCGGGAAACCGGAAUUAAUACCGAAUAUGACUUUGGCUGACAUCAGCAGAAGUGGAAAGUUUUUCGGCUAGGGAUGGACUCGCGGCCUAUCAGCUAGUUGGUGAGGUAACGGCCCACCAAGGCGACGACGGGUAGCCGGCCUGAGAGGGCGACCGGCCACACUGGGACUGAGACACGGCCCAGACUCCUACGGGAGGCAGCAGUGGGGAAUAUUGCGCAAUGGGCGAAAGCCUGACGCAGCGACGCCGCGUGGGGGAUGAAUGCCUUCGGGUUGUAACCCUUUCAGCAGGGACGAAGCGAAAGUGACGGUACCUGCAGAAGAAGCGCCGGCUAACUACGUGCCAGCAGCCGC